rnacentral:rRNA from 1 species
AUACUCCAACCCCGGUGAACAUACCUUACGUUUGCCUCUGCAGGUGGCGCCUACCUAGGUAGCGCCCUACCCCUGGUAGGGCCUACCCGGGCAGACGCGGGGUAAGCCCUGCCGGCGGCCCACACAAACUGGUGUCUGAUAUUGAAUUCUGAACACUAUAACUAAAUAAGUUAAAACUUUCAACAACGGAUCUCUUGGUUCUGGCAUCGAUGAAGAACGCAGCGAAAUGCGAUAAGUAAUGUGAAUUGCAGAAUUCAGUGAAUCAUCGAAUCUUUGAACGCACAUUGCGCCCAUUAGUAUUCUAGAGGGCAUGCCUGUUCGAGCGUCAUUUCAACCCUUAAGCCUCUGUUGCUUAGCGGUGGGAGCCUACAGCACCUGUAACUCCUCAAAGUUAGUGGCGGAGUCGGUUCACACUCUAAACGUAGUAAUUCUUUCUCGCCUAUUAAUUGGAACCGGUCUCCCCCCGUAAAACCCCCUAUUUUCAAGGGUUGACCACCUAUCAUGUAGGAAUACCCGCUGAACUAAUUAAUAUUAAUAAUACGGAGGAAGAAUU